rnacentral:rRNA from 1 species
UGGGGGAUAUUGCACAAUGGGCGAAAGCCUGAUGCAGCGACGCCGCGUGGGGGAUGAAGGCCUUCGGGUUGUAAACUUCUUUUGCUCUGAACAAGGCGCACCACGGGGUGUGUUGAGUGUAGGGGUUGAUUAGCGCCGGCUAACUACGUGCCAGCAGCCGCGGUAAUACGUAGGGCGCGAGCGUUGUCCGGAAUUAUUGGGCGUAAAGGGCUUGUAGGUGGCUGGUUGCGUCUGUCGUGAAAGCUAAUGGCUGAACUGUGGGUUUGCGUUGCGUACGGGCUGGCUUGAGUGCGGUAGGGGAGGGUGGAAUUCCUGGUGUAGCGGUGAAAUGCGUAGAUAUCAGGAGGGAGACCGGUUGCGAAGGCGGGUCUCUGGGCUGUUACUGACACUGAGGAGCGAAAGCAUGGGGAGCGAACAGG